rnacentral:rRNA from 1 species
ACGGGUGAGUAACGCGUAGGUAACCUGCCUUGUAGCGGGGGAUAACUAUUGGAAACGAUAGCUAAUACCGCAUAACAAUGGGUGACACAUGUCAUUUAUUUGAAAGGGGCAAUUGCUCCACUACAAGAUGGACCUGCGUUGUAUUAGCUAGUAGGUGAGGUAACGGCUCACCUAGGCGACGAUACAUAGCCGACCUGAGAGGGUGAUCGGCCACACUGGGACUGAGACACGGCCCAGACUCCUACGGGAGGCAGCAGUAGGGAAUCUUCGGCAAUGGGGGCAACCCUGACCGAGCAACGCCGCGUGAGUGAAGAAGGUUUUCGGAUCGUAAAGCUCUGUUGUAAGUCAAGAACGAGUGUGAGAGUGGAAAGUUCACACUGUGACGGUAGCUUACCAGAAAGGGACGGCUAACUACGUGCCAGCAGCCGCGGUAAUACGUAGGUCCCGAGCGUUGUCCGGAUUUAUUGGGCGUAAAGCGAGCGCAGGCGGUUUGAUAAGUCUGAAGUUAAAGGCUGUGGCUCAACCAUAGUUCGCUUUGGAAACUGUCAAACUUGAGUGCAGAAGGGGAGAGUGGAAUUCCAUGUGUAGCGGUGAAAUGCGUAGAUAUAUGGAGGAACACCGGUGGCGAAAGCGGCUCUCUGGUCUGUAACUGACGCUGAGGCUCGAAAGCGUGGGGAGCGAACAGGAUUAGAUACCCUGGUAGUCCACGCCGUAACG